rnacentral:snRNA from 1 species
CUUCCCUUUGGGACAUAGAUCUCAUACAAUUGGAACGAUACAGAGCAGAUUAGCAUAAUUUCUGCGCAAGGAUAGGAUGACACGCACAAAUCAAGAGAUGGGUUAGGCAUUA